rnacentral:rRNA from 1 species
AGGUCGGGAACUCAAAGGAGACUGCCAGUGAUAAACUGGAGGAAGGUGGGGAUGACGUCAAGUCAUCAUGGCCCUUACGACCAGGGCUACACACGUGCUACAAUGGCGCAUACAAAGAGAAGCGACCUCGCGAGAGCAAGCGGACCUCAUAAAGUGCGUCGUAGUCCGGAUUGGAGUCUGCAACUCGACUCCAUGAAGUCGGAAUCGCUAGUAAUCGUGGAUCAGAAUGCCACGGUGAAUACGUUCCCGGGCCUUGUACACACCGCCCGUCACACCAUGGGAGUGGGUUGCAAAAGAAGUAGGUAGCUUAACCUUCGGGAGGGCGCUUACCACUUUGUGAUUCAUGACUGGGGUGAAGUCGUAACAAGGUAACCGUAGGGGAACCUGCGGUUGGAUCACCUCCUUACCUGAAAGAAGC